rnacentral:rRNA from 1 species
AUUGAACGCUGGCGGCAUGCCUUACACAUGCAAGUCGAACGGUAACGGGCCUUCGGGUGCCGACGAGGGGCGAACGGGUGAGUAAUACAUCGGAACGUGCCCGAUCGUGGGGGAUAACGAGGCGAAAGGUUUGCUAAUACCCCAUACGAUCUACGGAUGAAAGCGGGGGACCGCAAGGCCUUGCGCGGACGGAGCGGCCGAUGGCAGAUUAGGUAGUUGGUGGGAUAAAAGCUUACCAAGCCGACGAUCUGUAGCUGGUCUGAGAGGAUGAUCAGCCACACUGGGACUGAGACACGGCCCAGACUCCUACGGGAGGCAGCAGUGGGGAAUUUUGGACAAUGGGCGCAAGCCUGAUCCAGCCAUGCCGCGUGCAGGAUGAAGGCCUUCGGGUUGUAAACUGCUUUUGUACGGAACGAAAAGCCUUCUUUUAAUACAGGAGGGUCAUGACGGUACCGUAAGAAUAAGCACCGGCUAACUACGUG